rfam:Arabidopsis thaliana chromosome 5, complete sequence.
GGAUGUGAUCAUACCAGCACUAAUACACCGGAUCCCAUCAGAACACCGUAGUUAAGCGUGCUUGGGCGAGAGUAGUACUAAGAUGGGUGACCUCCCGGGAAGUCCUUGUCUUGCAUCCC